GCUAAGGUCAUCCAUGACAACUUCGGCAUUGUGGAGGGACUCAUGACCACAGUCCAUGCCAUCAUUGCCACCCAGAAGACUGUGGAUGGCCCCUCUGGGAAGUUGUGGCGUGAUGGUCGCGGGGCUCUCCAGAACAUCAUCCCUGCCUCAACUGGUGCAGCCAAGGCUAUGGGCAAGGUCAUCCCUGAGCUGAAUGGGAAGCUUACUAGCAUGGCAUCCCAUGUCCCCACUGCCAACAUGUCGGUGGUGGAUCUCAGCUGCCAUCUGGAGAAGCCUGCCAAAUACGAUGAUAUCAAGAAGGUGGUGAAGCAGGCAUCAAAGGGCUCCCUCAAGGCAUCCUGGGUUACACUGAGUACCAGGUCGUCUCCUCUGACUUCAACAGUGACACCCAUUCUUCCACCUUUGAUGCUGGGGCUGGCAUUGCCCUCAAUGACCACUUUGUCAAACUCAUUGCCUGGUAUGAUAAUGAAUUUGGCUACAGCAACAGAGUGGUGGAUCUUAUGGCCCACAUGGCCUUCAAGGAGUAAGAACCCACAGACCACCAGCCCCAGCCAGAGCAUGAAAGGAAGAGAAAGGCCCUUAGCUGCUG